GAGGUGGAAAAAUCCAUCUUGGCAGCUGAACAACCUUGCCUGUUUGUCUGCAGAGCACAGGAGGAUCCUGGCCCUGACUGAGAGACGAGAAUUGAAACUGCAGACAUGGAUUCCUCGGUUCCAGGAGCCCUGAGCCACUGUGAUGAUAUUUGCACCCCAUAAACAUGCCAACCACUGGGAAUUUUGUUUUUCAGCACCUAGCUUGCCUUGGAUAAUGGUGAUUCAGGAACACACAUACAGACAGCUUAACCAUGGUUUUGAUGUUGAACCAAGUGAGGAAGCAGUGUGUUUCAGAGCAGUUUUG
rnacentral:lncRNA from 1 species